UCGUGAAUUUGUUCGCGGCGCUGCAGGACAAGCUUGGCUACGGCCCGGGUGAUCGGUGGGUGACGGUGGCCUCGCCGAGCUUCGAUACUUCGGUGCUCGAGC
rnacentral:tRNA from 1 species